GCAGCCGCCGCGGUAAUACGUAGGUCCCGAGCGUUGUCCGGAUUUAUUGGGCGUAAAGCGUGCGUAGGCGGUGAGUUAAGUCUGCUGUGAAAUCCCCGGGCUCAACCUGGGAAUGGCAGUGGAUACUGGCUCGCUAGAGUGUGUCAGAGGAUGGUGGAAUUCCCGGUGUAGCGGUGAAAUGCGUAGAGAUCGGGAGGAACAUCAGUGGCGAAGGCGGCCAUCUGGGACAACACUGACGCUGAGGCGCGAAAGCGUGGGGAGCAAACAGGAUUAGAUACCCCAGUAGUCCCUGUCUCUUAUAC
rnacentral:rRNA from 1 species